rnacentral:tRNA from 1 species
GUGGUUGUAGCUCAGUUGGUUAGAGCACUAGAUUGUGGUUCUAGGGGUCGCCGGUUCGAACCCGGUCUUCCACCCCA